UUUGGUUGUUUUUUUAAGUAAUCUCGACCUUCAACAUGGGGCUUGAACUCAUGACCCUGAGAUCAAAAGUCACAUGCUCUACCAUCUGAGCCAGG
rnacentral:snoRNA from 1 species